rnacentral:rRNA from 1 species
AACGAACGCUGGCGGCAUGCCUAACACAUGCAAGUCGAACGAUCCCUUCGGGGAUAGUGGCGCACGGGUGCGUAACGCGUGGGAACCUGCCCUUAGGUUCGGAAUAACUCAGAGAAAUUUGAGCUAAUACCGGAUAAUGUCUUCGGACCAAAGAUUUAUCGCCUUUGGAUGGGCCCGCGUUGGAUUAGCUAGUUGGUGGGGUAAAGGCCUACCAAGGCGACGAUCCAUAGCUGGUCUGAGAGGAUGAUCAGCCACACUGGGACUGAGACACGGCCCAGACUCCUACGGGAGGCAGCAGUGGGGAAUAUUGGACGAUGGGCGAAAGCCUGAUACAGCAAUGCCGCGUGAGUGAUGAAGGCCUUAGGGUUGUAAAGCUCUUUUACCCGGGAUGAUAAUGACAGUACCGGGAGAAUAAGCCCCGGCUAACUCCGUG